UGACUGACCGAUAGUGAACCAGUACCGUGAGGGAAAGGCGAAAAGAACCCCUGUGAGGGGAGUGAAAUAGAACCUGAAACCGUGUACGUACAAGCAGUAGGAGCAGGCUUUGUCCUGUGACUGCGUACCUUUUGUAUAAUGGGUCAGCGACUUAUAUUCAGUGGCAAGGUUAACCAUCUAGGGGAGCCGUAGGGAAACCGAGUCUUAACUGGGCGUUCAG
rnacentral:rRNA from 1 species